rnacentral:rRNA from 1 species
CCUACGGGAGGCAGCAGUGAGGAAUAUUGGUCAAUGGGCGUAAGCCUGAACCAGCCAAGCCGCGUGAGGGAUGAAGGCUCUAUGGAUCGUAAACCUCUUUUAUCAGGGAAUAAAGUGCGGGACGUGUCCCAUUUUGUAUGUACCUGAUGAAUAAGGAUCGGCUAACUCCGUGCCAGCAGCCGCGGUAAUACGGAGGAUCCGAGCGUUAUCCGGAUUUAUUGGGUUUAAAGGGUGCGUAGGCGGCCUUUUAAGUCAGCGGUGAAAGUCUGUGGCUCAACCAUAGAAGUGCCGUUGAAACUGGCGGACUUGAGAAUGUGUGAGGUAGGCGGAAUGCGUGGUGUAGCGGUGAAAUGCUUAGAUAUCACGCAGAACCCCGAUUGCGAAGGCAGCCUACCGAGGCCUGACUGACGCUGAUGCACGAAAGCGUGGGGAUCGAACAGGAUUAGAUACCCUAGUAGUC